rnacentral:rRNA from 1 species
ACUGCGAAUACCGGAGAAUGUUAUCACGGGAGACACACGGCGGGUGCUAACGUCCGUCGUGAAGAGGGAAACAACCCAGACCGCCAGCUAAGGUCCCAAAGUCAUGGUUAAGUGGGAAACGAUGUGGGAAGGCCCAGACAGCCAGGAUGUUGGCUUAGAAGCAGCCAUCAUUUAAAGAAAGCGUAAUAGCUCACUGGUCGAGUCGGCCUGCGCGGAAGAUGUAACGGGGCUAAACCAUGCACCGAAGCUGCGGCAGCGACGCUUAUGCGUUGUUGGGUAGGGGAGCGUUCUGUAAGCCUGCGAAGGUGUGCUGUGAGGCAUGCUGGAGGUAUCAGAAGUGCGAAUGCUGACAUAAGUAACGAUAAAGCGGGUGAAAAGCCCGCUCGCCGGAAGACCAAGGGUUCCUGUCCAACGUUAAUCGGGGCAGGGUGAGUCGACCCCUAAGGCGAGGCCGAAAGGCGUAGUCGAUGGGAAACAGGUUAAUAUUCCUGUACUUGGUGUUACUGCGAAGGGGGGACGGAGAAGGCUAUGUUGGCCGGGCGACGGUUGUCCCGGUUUAAGCGUGUAGGCUGGUUUUCCAGGCAAAUCCGGAAAAUCAAGGCUGAGGCGUGAUGACGAGGCACUACGGUGCUGAAGCAACAAAUGCCAUGCUUCCAGGAAAAGCCUCUAAGCAUCAGGUAACAUCAAAUCGUACCCCAAACCGACACAGGUGGUCAGGUAGAGAAUACCAAGGCGCUUGAGAGAACUCGGGUGAAGGAACUAGGCAAAAUGGUGCCGUAACUUCGGGAGAAGGCACGCUGAUAUGUAGGUGAAGCGACUUGCUCGUGGAGCUGAAAUCAGUCGAAGAUACCAGCUGGCUGCAACUGUUUAUUAAAAACACAGCACUGUGCAAACACGAAAGUGGACGUAUACGGUGUGACGCCUGCCCGGUGCCGGAAGGUUAAUUGAUGGGGUCAGCGCAAGCGAAGCUCUUGAUCGAAGCCCCGGUAAACGGCGGCCGUAACUAUAACGGUCCUAAGGUAGCGAAAUUCCUUGUCGGGUAAGUUCCGACCUGCACGAAUGGCGUAAUGAUGGCCAGGCUGUCUCCACCCGAGACUCAGUGAAAUUGAACUCGCUGUGAAGAUGCAGUGUACCCGCGGCAAGACGGAAAGACCCCGUGAACCUUUACUAUAGCUUGACACUGAACAUUGAGCCUUGAUGUGUAGGAUAGGUGGGAGGCUUUGAAGUGUGGACGCCAGUCUGCAUGGAGCCGACCUUGAAAUACCACCCUUUAAUGUUUGAUGUUCUAACGUUGACCCGUAAUCCGGGUUGCGGACAGUGUCUGGUGGGUAGUUUGACUGGGGCGGUCUCCUCCUAAAGAGUAACGGAGGAGCACGAAGGUUGGCUAAUCCUGGUCGGACAUCAGGAGGUUAGUGCAAUGGCAUAAGCCAGCUUGACUGCGAGCGUGACGGCGCGAGCAGGUGCGAAAGCAGGUCAUAGUGAUCCGGUGGUUCUGAAUGGAAGGGCCAUCGCUCAACGGAUAAAAGGUACUCCGGGGAUAACAGGCUGAUACCGCCCAAGAGUUCAUAUCGACGGCGGUGUUUGGCACCUCGAUGUCGGCUCAUCACAUCCUGGGGCUGAAGUAGGUCCCAAGGGUAUGGCUGUUCGCCAUUUAAAGUGGUACGCGAGCUGGGUUUAGAACGUCGUGAGACAGUUCGGUCCCUAUCUGCCGUGGGCGCUGGAGAACUGAGGGGGGCUGCUCCUAGUACGAGAGGACCGGAGUGGACGCAUCACUGGUGUUCGGGUUGUCAUGCCAAUGGCACUGCCCGGUAGCUAAAUGCGGAAGAGAUAAGUGCUGAAAGCAUCUAAGCACGAAACUUGCCCCGAGAUGAGUUCUCCCUGACUCCUUGAGAGUCCUGAAGGAACGUUGAAGACGACGACGUUGAU